rnacentral:rRNA from 1 species
UACGUAGGGUGCGAGCGUUGUCCGGAAUUAUUGGGCGUAAAGAGCUCGUAGGCGGCCGGUUGCGUCUGCUGUGAAAUCCCGGGGCUUAACCCCGGGCGUGCAGUGGAUACGGGCUGGCUGGAGGCAGGCAGGGGAGAAUGGAAUUCCCGGUGUAGCGGUGAAAUGCGUAGAUAUCGUAAGGAAGACCAGUGGCGAAGGCGGGUCUCUGGACAGUUCCUGACGCUGAGGCACGAAGGACAGGGGAGCAAACGGG